AUGGAUCAAGAAAUCGGGAUUCAAUUCCUCAAAAAGAAAAAUGAAAUCGGGAGUCAAAAGAAACAACAAACAACAACAAAUAUUGUGUUGGGAAUCCUCGGUACAUCUGCCGACUGUGAAGGAGUGAUGGUGGUUGGCUCGCUGCAACAUGCGAGCCAUGACUUCGUCGCCCCCUGUCGAGUGGGAUCCAUGGCGCUGCCGCCGCGGUCGAGUGGGAUCCAUGGCGCUGCCGCCGCCGUUGAGUCGGAUCCAUGUGCGUCUUCGGCCGCCGUCGCGUGGGAGUACGGGCGUUGCCGCCGCGCCGAGUCGGAGCCACGAGCCAUCGGAACAGCCAGCCGCCGCUCGGACUGUGCGAGGCGGGCAAAUGGAGGCGGCGGCGCUGGAUAUGCGUGGGUGAAGCCUGGAGCUCGUUUGGGGAUAAGGUGCAGUACGGGGCUGUGUUGUUCCAAUUAA
rnacentral:rRNA from 1 species